rnacentral:rRNA from 1 species
UACGUAGGUGGCAAGCGUUAUCCGGAAUUACUGGGCGUAAAGCGCACGCAGGCGGUCUCUUAAGUUUGACGUGAAAGCUCCCGGCUUAACUGGGAGAGGUCGUUGAAUACUGGGAGACUUGAGGCAAUGAGAGGGGUGUAGAAUUCCCGGUGUAGUGGUGGAAUGCGUAGAUAUCGGGGGGAAUACCAGUGGCGAAAGCGGCUCCCUAGCGUUGUUCUGACGCUCAUGUGCGAAAGCGUGGGGAGCGAACGGG